AGCGGCCCAUGGUCCAGGGUUGUGAUUUGAACAUAAUGGACGUUAAGUCCAACGUCACCAAAAGCAUCAAGGUAACGGUUCCCACGGAAGAACAGAAGCGAUUAGCACAGUUAUCCUCAUUCGAACGAAUAGAAACGAUGCAAGAUAAUAUUAUUAAAAAAAUGGUAGAAGUCACGAAGCACACGUAUGAAGAGUGUGCUAUGGAAUUGGCGGGAACGGACAUGGACAUGGAAUCAGCUAUAACUAAUUUAAU